CGCUUCUCAAGAAAGAGAGGGGCAGUCGGUCUGUACAUGCGUGAGGUGGCGAGAGGCGUGUCCAGGGGACGGCUAGUAGCGUGUGCCACCGUGGAAAUAUGUACAGACAAAGAAGACGCCCUCAAGAAAGAUGUGGUGAAGACAGUGUUAUGCACCACCACACCACCAUUACACUUCCUGUCUUGCUUGGUGAAUGAACAGAGCACCACUAACAUCACAUCAUUGCAUCACCACAUCACCACACCACCACCUCCUGUCCUGCCCCAGUGAAAUAGAACAUCACCACCACAUCACCACAUCAAGAGUCAGUGAUUGCCUGCAGCCAGCCCUAGCCUGACCCGCCAGACAUGUGUCCCAGGCCUUCCCCUAGCCUGUAGAGCCAUGUAAGCCUGCAGGUCAAGGUCAGGUAAAAAAAAAAACAGGCCGUAACGUAAAAGAUCAAGACAUUUACGAAGACUGUCUUUGAUGGGCUCAGGUCCUCCGUGCAGACCACCAACAAGCAAGAGAUUGACGAAAUACAGGUUGUGAAGACGCUGCAAGCUGAUGCCUUCAGAGAUCGCGAAGGUCCUCACCUUGUUGUAGGAGAGCUGACAACAUGUACCAGCCAGCAGCAACUCCCAUGCUAACAGGCUUCUCCCCCGCGGGUAUGUAGCACCUCUGGAGUCGCUCGAUGAAGAAGAGGAUGCUGGCGAGGCCUGUCGUGUUAGCCGGGAUGCGCCGGUACAGAGCUGUGUCCGUUGGGGUUGUGUAGGCAAGCAUCUUCUUGGCAAGGUCCUCGUAGGUGGCCGCAAACAGUUUACGGCUGUGGGAUGAGAACUUGUCUUGUGAAUGUGACGUUGGGAGGAGGGAAGCACAGGGGAAGAGGAGGACGAGGAGGAAGAGAGUUAAGAGUCACAAGAGGAGGAGGAAGGUGGAAAGAAAGAGGAAGGAGAGGAGGAGGAGGAGGAGGAGGAAGAUGGAGAAGGAAAGGAGAAAGAUAAGAAGGAAGGAAAUGCCGCAGAAGGAGAAGAGCAAUAAGAAAUUAGAAUUGACAGAGAAACCAGACAAGGGACUGCAUUUGAAGAAGCACAAGAACCAAGAAAUUACAUCAUUCAAUGAAAUGACAACAUAAUCUAAAAUAGAAAUAAAAAACGUCACAAGACAGAAUAGUGAGCUGCAUGCACUUAUCACAGAGUAUAAAGUCACUCCCUCAGAGGAAAAAGACAAGGAUGGCAUGUCUUCAUGUGAGAACUCAGAAGCUAAAUGUACAGAUACCAAGGGGAAAUUGCUGGGUCAAGUGGCUACACUGACAUCUGAGGUUAGCAGGUUGGAGAGUGAGUGCAGCAGUCUUCAGGUUCAGCUAGACUGUGAGAGGGAUAAGUAUAACAAACUGCUGGGAGAAUCUCUUGCUCAUGAAAAGUUGUCUGAAGAUGUCAUAACUGAACCAAAAGGAGAAACAACAGGAUUGGGAGGAACUGAGCUUUAACAGAAGCUGCAACAACUGCAGGAGGCUCACAGGGUCCUGGAGAGCAGGUUAACUUGCAGCAUGAAGGAGGUGGCUGAGCUGAGUGACAGGAAGUAGCAGCUUGAGCAUGCUGUAGUGCAUGAGGAGACAGAGUCCAUCGGUGACUACAUCACCAUCUACCAGUUGCAGCGAGGAGUGAUGAAGCAACAAGCUCGAGAACGCGAGUUAGACCUUGCCAGCCUCCAUCAUGAAUGAGAGGAAAUGAAGCAAAACCACUCUGCAGGAUUUGAUAUCAAAGCUGGUGCAGGAAAAGGAAGCAGAUCAUGACCUUCAGCAGCUCGAGAAGAUAAGCAGCGUCCUUAAGAGUCCAGUUGCUAUCUUUAGCAGUGUUGGAACCAGUGAGUCUGAGACACCCACCAGCAGUGGAAAGCUGGCUGACGAGCGCCUCAAGCACUCUGAAAAGGUGGAGCAACAACAAGAAACAGAAAAUUGCAUCCAUCAUUCUUUGCCUGAGGAGGGAAUUGAUGCUCUGUUGACCCUUCACACUGAUGUCCCUCAUGAGGAGGCAGAAUAUGAAUCCUACAGAACUUGCCCAUAGAAAAACCAAAACUGUUACUGCUGCCACACUGCCACCACUUCCACUGACACCAAAAGCCCAACUGUGCAGAGAAUCCUGGACCUCCGCAAUGAAAUGGAGUCCACCAGUCACCUGGAGCACUUUAGCCUCCAAAAGUUCCAUCCGUGUCCAUUGUGUUUGGGUAAACUUAUCACUGUAUAAGGGGACAAGUAUCAGUGUAUGGUUACUAUAUACUCAUUUGUACUUAAAGAUGUCAUGUCACAUCAUUCUCUCUCUCUCUCUCUCUCUCUCUCUCUCUCUCUCUCUCUCUCUCUCUCUCUCUCUCUCUCUCUCUCUCUCUCUCUCUCUCUCUCUCUCUCUCUCUCUCUCUCUCUCUCUCUCUCUCUCUCUCUCUCUCUCUCUCUCUCUCUCUCUCUCUCUCUCUCUCUCUCUCUCUCUCUCUCUCUCUCUCUCUCUCUCUCUCUCUCUCUCUCUCUCUCUCUCUCUCUCUCUCUCUCUCUCUCUCUUUCUUUCUUUCUUUCUUUCUUUCUUUCUUUCUUUCUUUUUGCAUAUUUUACUGCUUUACAUUCCUCCCCACAGUAUUUUUUCAUCUACUUUAUGACUGCAGUAGUUUUAUCAUCCCAGUGUAUGCCGUAUCCACUCUGAAACUGUAAUUCACCAAUCAGCUCAAAUGUGUCUCUGUUUUGAUAAUCAUUAAUUUGUUUCAGCUACACAACCACUCUGAUAAGGGACAAAAUCUACUUCACCAGUCAUCUAUGUCAUACAGUCAUAUAUAUUCAUACAUAUGACAAAAUACUCUUCCUAAGACAUUUCUUAUUUUCUCUUCUCAAGUGACCUGUCCAUCUAUCUAAGGUACCACAUAACAUUUAAAACUUACAAUAUUGCAUUUAAUUCAUGAACAUUUUUUUGUCUAUGUAGACUUGAAAUUGUAUUGGUUCCUGUGGAUGAGUGGGCCAUGCUGUGCUUUGUCAAGGAUGGUGUUUGGUAUUGUGAUGACUCUUGCCACAAUCAAGUGUCUCCCACAGAGUAGUGGAGUACCUAUGUAUGGUGUUGACCCAAGCUGUCCAGGUCUCAUCCAAUGCCUUAAUAUGAUUUAGAUGAUCAAAAUGGUUUAACUCACCAUUUAAUCAGCUGACUGAUUUGAAUGGAGAAGUAUGUAAUGUGUUGUAGCCUAACCAUCCCUGCCAGCAUGGUCAGACUCUUGGUAGUAACCUGAAAUGCUCCUAGGUAGUGAGUAUCAUUGCACAUAAUGAUCUUUACUUUGUCAGUAAUUCAAUGAUACUGAAUAUUACUCUACUGGAUUUUGCUCAGCACUGCUUGGUAACUUUUGGCCAUAAUCCCAGGUCUGGAAUGAUAUGAAGCCAUGUUUUUACAUUCCAUAUGAGACAGGCAAGCACUAUGCUUUGCCUGACUGAUACCUGUACUUUGCAUUUAUGACCCCAGGUAGUUCAUCACUCUCUCUCUCUCUCUCUCUCUCUCUCUCUCUCUCUCUCUCUCUCUCUCUCUCUCUCUCUCUCUCUCUCUCUCUCUCUCUCUGUUUGGAAUUAUACUGUAUAUUAGGAAAUAUCAUUAAAGAGUGUGUGUGUAAAAAGUGUUUGCAUUAUUGUGCAUUUGAUGUUGGUUUCAUGAUUUAUAAAGAUUGCUAUUUUUAAUAAAGUUAUUGAAAUUGUUA